GAUGAAGAACGUAGCGAAAUGCGAUAAGUAAUGUGAAUUGCAGAAUUCAGUGAAUCAUCGAAUCUUUGAACGCACAUUGCGCCCGCCAGUAUUCUGGCGGGCAUGCCUGUUCGAGCGUCAUUUCAACCAUCAAGCCCCAGGCUUGUGUUGGGGACCUGCGGCUGCCGCAGGCCCUGAAAACCAGUGGCGGGCUCGCUGUCACACCGGGCGUAGUAGAUUUUAUCUCGCUCAGGGCGUGCUGCGGGUUCCGGCCGUUAAAAAGCCUUUUUUACCCAAGGUUGACCUCGGAUCAGGUAGGAAUACCCGCUGAACUUAAGCAUAUCAAUAACGGAGGA
rnacentral:misc_RNA from 1 species